UACGUAGGUGGCAAGCGUUGUCCGGAUUUACUGGGCGUAAAGAGCGCGCAGGCGGUCGUUCAAGUCGCGUGUGAAAGCCCCCGGCUCAACUGGGGAGGGUCACGCGAUACUGAUCGACUCGAAGGCAGGAGAGGGAAGUGGAAUUCCCGGUGUAGUGGUGAAAUGCGUAGAUAUCGGGAGGAACACCGGUGGCGAAGGCGGGUCUCUGGGCAAUAACUGACGCUGAGGAGCGAAAGCGUGGGGAGCGAACAGG
rnacentral:rRNA from 1 species